rnacentral:rRNA from 1 species
AGGCUUUGAUCCUGGCUCAGGAUGAACGCUGGCGGCGUGCCUAACACAUGCAAGUCGAGCGAUUCUCUUAGGAGAAGAGCGGCGGACGGGUGAGUAACGCGUGGGUAACCUGCCCUGUACACACGGAUAACAUACCGAAAGGUAUGCUAAUACGGGAUAACAUAUUUUGAUGGCAUCAUCGAAAUAUCAAAGCUCCGGCGGUACAGGAUGGACCCGCGUCUGAUUAGCUAGUUGGUGAGGUAAUGGCUCACCAAGGCGACGAUCAGUAGCCGACCUGAGAGGGUGAUCGGCCACAUUGGAACUGAGACACGGUCCAAACUCCUACGGGAGGCAGCAGUGGGGAAUAUUGCACAAUGGGCGAAAGCCUGAUGCAGCAACGCCGCGUGAGCGAUGAAGGCCUUCGGGUCGUAAAGCUCUGUCCUCAAGGAAGAUAAUGACGGUACUUGAGGAGGAAGCCCCGGGUA